rnacentral:rRNA from 1 species
GACGAACGCUGGCGGCGUGCUUAACACAUGCAAGUCGAACGGAAAGGCCCUGCUUUUGUGGGGUGCUCGAGUGGCGAACGGGUGAGUAACACGUGAGUAACCUGCCCUUGACUUUGGGAUAACUUCAGGAAACUGGGGCUAAUACCGGAUAGGAGCUCCUGUUGCAUGGUGGGGGUUGGAAAGUUUCGGCGGUUGGGGAUGGACUCGCGGCUUAUCAGCUUGUUGGUGGGGUAGUGGCUUACCAAGGCUUUGACGGGUAGCCGGCCUGAGAGGGUGACCGGCCACAUUGGGACUGAGGUACGGCCCAGACUCCUACGGGAGGCAGCAGUGGGGAAUAUUGCACAAUGGGCGGAAGCCUGAUGCAGCAACGCCGCGUGCGGGAUGACGGCCUUCGGGUUGUAAACCGCUUUCGCCUGUGACGAAGCGUGAGUGACGGUAAUGGGUAAAGAAGCACCGGCUAACUACGUG